CAGAGCAAGUGCAGUAUGCUGUAAUCACAUAACUUACCUUGAACAGUUUCACCGAAAUGGGAGUAAAUGGGCGACUUUAAAGAUGACUCAAUUCGCUUCAGCUGUCUAGACGAGGCCACGUACAACAGCUGAACCAGGUCGCCCUGCUUCAGUGGGAUAUGGCCAGUUUAUUGAAAGAAAGAAAGAAGAUUUACAGUGUACUUACCUGAGCAAGAGCAAUACACACAAUCGGCAAAAUGGCAUAUGCAGCUCCCAUUGCCUUACCAUAUGCAAGCAGCAGCCCAGAAUCUAACCUGCUGUAUAAAUAGGGCCGUCCUUCCACCAAGGCAGAGUGACUCACCUUCAUCGAAAGAAUCAGCAGGUUCCUCUUUCAUAUGCUGGAGGUCACCGAGCUUUGGCGGGAGAUGGCCGGUGUGUUAAAAAAAAUAGCACAAGGGUUGAUAUGCGUCAUACCUGAAUAAGCUGGGCAAUAAGGUUCGGCAGCUGGUUGAUAGGUAUUCGCAUAAGAUUGAAGAGCACGAUAGAUACAAAGGCAGUCUCAACAUCCAACACAUUGUCGUCUGAUACCAGGAGAUAUGUCAUAAAUGUGGUCAGUGCUACCUGGAAGACAAAUUAUAUACUGUAUAAAUAGUGCAAAGGAGUAAAUAGCAUGUUGGACAUGAGCGUGAUGCAGCACUAACCAUAUAAGGAGUAAUGUUCCAGAUGAAGGCGCUCAGAGACUGAAGAAAAGCUCCUUGCUUCAGCAUUCGAAUUUCCUGAAGUCUGACAUCUUCGAC